GACAGAAUGAGUGGAAAUGUAACUGACCAAGAACUUUGGUGCACCUAAAAUUAAAUCUGUGGCCCAGCAGCUCCUCCCAGUGGAGGCUGAGGCUGCUCUGCUUCCUCCUGGGGUCCUGCCCAGACCCUCCCUCUCUGCUGACCGGGCUCUGUGAUCCCCUGGGGUGGCCCGUGACCCUCGUGUGCCAGGCCCUGCUGGAGAGGGUGAGUUCCGCCUGGAGAAGAAGGGACGUUCCCGGUUCUGGGGUCAGAGGAACUCUUCACCUUCUGAGGCAGAGGCCAGGCUCCUCUUCCCUCCAUGAGUGAGGACCCUGCUGGGCUUCAUCACUGCUGAUACCUAAAGCCCCCUUGGUCUGAGCUCAGUGAAGACUUGCAGCUGGUGCUGAGCAGUGAGGACGCCACCCAGGUCCCCAGCCGCGUCCCAGCUCAGCCAUCAGGUGACUCUGCGCCAGGCUCCGCUGCAGCACUGAAGGCCACAACAACCCCGGGAGGCCGGAGCAGGCGGCCCCUGCAGCGCCUCCCCACUUCCAACGUGCAGAGACUCCGGUUCUCUGCCGAAGGCACAGGCCUGGAGGGGCCGGGGCAGAACCAGCCCAGGGGACCCCAGCUAGACGCUCCCCAGGGGCCGGGCCUCACUGCUGGCCACUCAGCGUGGAGCCCCAGGACCCACCGCCCAAACCCAGACCCUGAGAGGAGGGGUGAGCCAUAAAAGGAGGCCCUGCCAGGAGCUGUUCAGAGGGUGCAGGUGGAUCCUCAGGGCGCACAAGCCAGCCCAGCCCCCGGGGCACCUGGAGAGAGGCCGCCUCUGUCACCAGCUGGCACCCGUCCCCAUCGCUGGUCCCAGGCACCCAGGGCGGCAAGCUGACCACCACCCAGAGCCAAGAGAAGCCGCCUGACUUGUGAGCGUCAGUGGGGAGACUUGAUGUCAGCGAACACAGAAGUCCCGCUAGUGCAGGUGCACACGCAGACCCGAAUCUGCAGGUCGUCAUGUGGCUUCAGAUCUGUCGCUUAGAUCACGGUCAUGUGACAUACACGUGCAUGGUAAAGACACCAGCACUGGAGUCGACUUAACAGCAUACGAGUGCGCAUUACAGGUAGAGGCAUGCGGUUACACUGUGCUAACAAUUUGUUACUGUAAUUAACAUAAACAAAUAAACCCCAUAUGAUUAUGUACUACAUAUGUACAAUUACAGAAUUGAACAUCACUUAUAUAUUAAAAUAAGUGACUAUUACGGCUGAUUACAUUUUCUGCAUGGAUUAAAUUAUUAGUAGAGAUCAGAAGUGCAUAAUUUCAACUAUAUACUUACAUAUUGAGUGUGAGCAUGUUCAGAGGCCUGUCUCUUACCCAUGGCACCGUGUCCUGAGCCCAUGUCCUCCCUGGGACACCCUGCAGUCCCUUACCCACC